rnacentral:antisense_RNA from 1 species
UUCAUUGGCGGGCGGUGCGCGGGGAUCCCUGAUCCGCCGGGUUUUUAGGUCUUAUCUGACCGGUAUGCCAACCCGCACCGUCCGCCACCUGC